AGAGUUUGAUCCUGGCUCGAGGACGAACGCUGGCGGCGUGCCUAACACAUGCAAGUCGAACGGAACUAUUUUGACUGAUUCCUUCGGGAUGAAGAAUUUUAGUUUAGUGGCGGACGGGUGAGUAACGCGUGAGUAACCUGCCUCUGAGAGGGGAAUAACGUUCUGAAAAGAACGCUAAUACCGCAUAACACAUAUUUGCCGCAUGACAGAUAUGUCAAAGAUUUUAUCGCUCGGAGAUGGACUCGCGUCCGAUUAGUUAGUUGGUGAGGUAACGGCUCACCAAGACCGCGAUCGGUAGCCGGACUGAGAGGUUGAACGGCCACAUUGGGACUGAGACACGGCCCAGACUCCUACGGGAGGCAGCAGUGGGGGAUAUUGCGCAAUGGGGGCAACCCUGACGCAGCAACGCCGCGUGAAGGAUGAAGGUUUUCGGAUUGUAAACUUCUUUUAUCAGGGACGAACUCUGACGGUACCUGAUGAAUAAGCUCCGGCUAACUACGUGCCAGCAGCCGCGGUA
rnacentral:rRNA from 1 species